rnacentral:rRNA from 1 species
GAGUUUGAUCUUGGCUCAGGAUGAACGCUGGCGGCGUGCCUAAUACAUGCAAGUCGAGCGAACAGACGGGGAGCUUGCUCCCCUGACGUUAGCGGCGGACGGGUGAGUAACACGUGGGUAACCUACCUAUAAGACUGGAAUAACUCCGGGAAACCGGGGCUAAUGCCGGAUAACAUGUUGGACCGCAUGGUCCUACAGUGAAAGACGGUCUUGCUGUCACUUAUAGGUGGACCCGCGCCGUAUUAGCUAGUUGGUAAGGUAACGGCUUACCAAGGCAACGAUACGUAGCCGACCUGAGAGGGUGAUCGGCCACACUGGAACUGAGACACGGUCCAGACUCCUACGGAGGGCAGCAGUAGGGAA